UGAGAGAAUCAUUAACUUAAUUUGACUAUCUGGUUUGUGGAUGCGUUUACUCUCAUGUAAGUCAACAACAUCCUGGGAUUGGGACACACUUUCUGGGCACUGCUGGCCAGUCCCAAAAUGGAACAUAAGGAAGUGGUUCUUCUACUUCUGUUAUUUCUGAAAUCAGCACCGACUGAGACAGGGCCUUCUGUGCAGGAGUGCUACCACAGUAAUGGACAGAGUUAUCGAGGCACAUACUUCACCACUGUCACAGGAAGAACCUGCCAAGCUUGGUCAUCUAUGACGCCACACCAGCACAGUAGAACCCCAGAAAAGUACCCAAAUGAUGGCUUGAUCUCGAACUACUGCAGGAAUCCGGAUUGUUCGGCAGGCCCUUGGUGUUAUACGACGGAUCCCAAUGUCAGGUGGGAGUACUGCAACCUGACACGGUGCUCAGACGAUGAAGGGACUGUGUUCGUGCCUCUGACUGUUAUCCCAGUUCCAAGCCUAGAGGAUUCAUUCAUACAAGUGGCUUGAUCUCCAACUACUGCAGGAAUCCGGAUUGUUCGGCAGGCCCUUGGUGUUAUACAACGGAUCCCAAAGUCAGGUGGGAGUACUGCAACCUGACAGGAUGCUCAGACAAGAAUAGGGCUGUGGCCGCGCCUCUGACUAUUAUCCCGGUUCCAAGACGAGAGGAUACUUCCAAACAAGCACUGAUUGAUCCAAGGCCUUCAAUGUAGGAGUGCUACCAUGGAAAUGGACAGAGUUAUCGAGGCACAUACUUCACCACCGUCACAGGAAGCACUUGCCAAGCUUGGUCAUCUAUGACACCACACCAGCACAGUAGGACCUCAGAAAAGUACCCAAAUGCUGACUUGAUCAUGAACUACUGCAGGAAUCCAGAUCCUGUGGAAGGCCCUUGGUGUUACACGAUGGAUCCCAAAGUCAGAUGGGAGUACUGCAACCUGACACGAUGCUCAGACACAGAAGGGACUGCAGUCGUGCCUCUGACUGUUAUCCCGGUUCCAAGCCUAGAGGAUCCUUCCAAACCAGCACCAACAGAGCCAAGGCCUUGGGAGCAGCAGUGCUACCACGGUAAUGGACAGAGUUAUCGAGGCACAUACUUCACCACUGUCACAGGAAGAACCUGCCAAGCUUGGUCAUCUAUGACGCCACAUCAGCACAUGGCCUGACCAGGAACUACUGCAGGAAUCCAGAUUCUGGGAAACAACCCUGGUGUUACACAACUGAUCCGUGUGUGAGGUGGGAGUACUGCAACCUGACACAAUGCUCAGAAACAGAAUCAGUGUCCUAGAGACUCCCACUGUUGUUCCAGUUCCAAGCAUGGAGGCUCAUUCUGAAGCAGCACCAACUGAGCAAACCCCUGUGGUCCGGCAGUGCUACCAUGGUAAUGGACAGAGUUAUCAAGGCACAUUCUCCACCACUGUCACAGGAAGGACAUGUCAAUCUUGGUCAUCCAUGACACCACACCGGCAUCAGAGGACCCCAGAAAACUACCCAAAUGAACUCUAUGUUUGGGAAUGGGAAAGGAUACCGGGGCAAGAAGGCAACCACUGUUACUGGGACGCCACGCCAAGAAUGGACUGCCCAAGAGCCCCAUAGACACAGCAGGUUCACUCCAGGGACAAGUCCACGGGCAGGUCUGGAAAAAAAUGUAGGGACAUGGAUGAAGCUGGAAACCAUCAUCCUCAGCAAACUAUCGCAAGGACAAAAAACCAAACACCGCAUGUUGUCACUCAGGUGGGAAUUGAACGAAAACACAUGGACACAGGAAGGGGAACAUCACACCCAGGGCCUGUUGUGGGGUGGGGGGAGGGGGGAGGAUAGCAUUAGGAGAUAUACCUAAUGUUAAAUGACGAGUUAAUGGGUGCAGCACACCAACAUGGCACAUGUAUACAUAUGUAACAAACCUGCACGUUGUGCACAUGGACCCUGAAACUUAAAGUAUAAUAAAAAAAAAUGUAAGCC
rnacentral:lncRNA from 1 species